rnacentral:rRNA from 1 species
UGGGGAAUAUUGGACAAUGGGCGAAAGCCUGAUCCAGCCAUGCCGCGUGUGUGAAGAAGGUCUUCGGAUUGUAAAGCACUUUAAGUUGGGAGGAAGGGCAGUAAGCGAAUACCUUGCUGUUUUGACGUUACCGACAGAAUAAGCACCGGCUAACUCUGUGCCAGCAGCCGCGGUAAUACAGAGGGUGCAAGCGUUAAUCGGAAUUGCUGGGCGUAAAGCGCGCGUAGGUGGUUCGUUAAGUUGAAUGUGAAAGCCCCGGGCUCAACCUGGGAACGGCAUCCAAAACUGGCGAGCUAGAGUAGGGCAGAGGGUGGUGGAAUUUCCUGUGUAGCGGUGAAAUGCGUAGGUAUAGGAAGGAACACCAGUGGCGAAGGCGACCACCUGGGCUCAUACUGACACUGAGGUGCGAAAGCGUGGGGAGCAAACAGG